CCAUCGUGACCUACCCCCACAAGCCACAACGCCUCCUCCCUCCUCCCCUUUCUUCCACCUCCGCCGCCGGCCUAUAUGCCGGCCAACUCCGGCCACUCCCUACCCCGCCAACCAUCUUCCCGGAACUCCAUCGUACCCCCUCUCUAUCCUACCUCGUGGAACCACCAAACCAAAUCUCCAACAGAAACCCUAGCCGGUAUCCUACCUGUACAGAGAGGAGAAGGUGGUCCAUGGCGACGGCGGCAGAUGCGGCCGUCCUACAAGCCCCAGCCUUCACCGACGUCGGCUGUUCCAGGUGGAGUACGCCAUGGAGGUCGUCAAGCAGGGCUUCGCCUACAUCGGCCUCCGCUUCGCUACCCACGCCGUCCACACCGCUAUCGCAUCACACCAGCAGCAAGCCGACCAUGCUGAGUUCCCCUCGUCGGACAUACAAGUCAGCCUCGAGGUGGCCGCCGGUGCACAACCCAAGAAGACGACGCUCCGCAAGUUCAGCUACCGUGGCGUGGUCGUUGAUGCCCUCCUCGACAUGUCCAUGGACUACCUCUUCCAGAUGUCCUGACCCACGCCCGCAGUAGACCUGAUGGAGCCAUGAUGCUUACAUGUGUGCUGGAGCGCAUAAACCUUGCCCAUGGUGACACAU